GGGGGUAUAUUUUAAAAUCAAAGAAAGUAUAAUUUGCAAUUAUAAAGUAAUAAGCUUUAUUUACCCGCA
rnacentral:tRNA from 1 species